AUACCGCUCUAGGAAUACCAUCUCGAUUCCCUAGUCUGUCGUUCUCACUGAACAAGCUGUGAUGCCAACAGAUUCAAGUGCGUCUCAACGAAGAAACACCAUUUAUGGAGGUGCGGAAUUAAAUUCUCGCUCACAAAUGGAUAUGAACAGUACGAAGCCAUCCCAUGUUUAGGGUUAUGUUAUAUGAUUUUGGCACAUCUGUGGAUAUGAAACAUUUUGCAUCACAAUGAAAACUUUUAUCAUAGUGGAAUCCGAAGGCCUUUGAGAAACAAUGCUUGAAGGAUAUGUACAUUUAUUAUCAACAGUAAGAACAGUGAAAAAAUUACUUCAACAAACUACUUUAGCUGUAAUAUCCAAACUUCUGAUGAUGAAAAAGUUAGAAUUGUCUGUUAUUCUCCAAAGAAAAGAACCAACUUGCAGUAAGCCUUCAUUAGCAAAUCACCAAUUAAAAUACAAGGAGUGAAAUGCUUAUAAUCCACAACAACCCUUUCAUCUGAUGUUGAACCACAGUACAAAAUUCCAAAGCAUGCCAAAAUCACUCCUACAUAAUAACCCAUGCGAUGGAGUGGCAUCCCAUCCAGGGGGGAGUAGAAAUACUCCUAGUCGCUUCAUGCCACAGAAACUGGAGUCAAGCACUGGCCUAAUGGGCCACUAGGCUCAUAAACAGACUUUACCCUACCUUUACCUUUGAUUUAACUAUAAUUAUGAGUUCUUGUUUUUAUAAUGUUAUUACAUUGUGGGACUAAUUAAGAACACUGACUUAAACAAUGCUAUCGAAACCUUGAUUUUAUCAUUAAUUGUAAAUGUUACACCUAUUUCAAAACAUUGUUAUAUUGUUGGAUUAUGAGUUUGCUUUUUAUAACAUAAAAUUGUUGACGCUUAUUAUAUUGUUGACACUGGUGAAAAGUUCAGUUUCACAUGCUUUAACAAUGGAAUUGAAACCUUGUUUUUUAUUGUUUUCAUUAUAAAUGUUAUACCUUUUUCAUAACAUUGUUGGAUUAUGAGUUCUUGUUUUUAUAAUGUUGUUGUAUUGUUGACACUUAUAUUAUUAUAUUGUUGACACUGGUGAAAAGUCCGAUUUCAAGUGCUUUAAUGAUGAAUUGAAGCCUUAUUUUUGAUCGUUUUCAUUAGAAAUGUAAUACCUAUUUCAAACAUUAUUAUUGUUGGAAACGAAUACUGUUUACAAAGUUGUAAAUUGCACAUUUUUCUGAUGAUUCAAAACAAGAAACCCGCCAACAAAAAGAGCAUAUUACUGAUAACAACUUCAGUGGCAUUCUUUAGCUGGUUGAAAUAAGACAUUUAAUUAAUUACAUGAAAAUGUAUUCAUCAUAACCCAUUUUUACACAGCACUAGCCAUAUGCAGGCUUGGACUGCUUUUAUUGUAGCUUGAUGCUGAUCCUUCCAUCUGACCAGCUGUUUUCAAGCUUGAUGGUUAGGAAUGUCAAUAUACUUUUGCCAACUUCCCAAUAGUAAGUAAAGUAUGCAUUCACGUAAUGUAAAGUACAUUAUUUAAUAUUCAGAAGUCAGAAAGCCCUCAACUCCAGCUUCAGGUUGACCAUGGUACCAAGGUUCUUGAGUGACAAACAUGGUCAGCCAUGGUUGACAGUGAUGGGGACCAUGGUGCCUAACCAUGAUCAUAUUUAGCUACUUAGUAAUACAUGGUUCACAUUCAACCGUAGUCAGACCAAAAACAUUCAUUGUCAAAAGCAUCUGAUUAUAUAAAUAAAUUUAAAUGCUGA